CGAUAAUCAUUAAUAGCACAAAAACGUAGCUGAAUUUAUGCUAGAAACCAAACUUUCAUGCUUCCCGUCAACUGAUUUACUUCUUUGUAGAGGAAGAGCGUGUAUUCAUAUCCCUUAGUAGAACCCAUACAUCUAAUCAUCAAAAUCAAAAUCAAAUUAUUUCGUUCAUAGCAAGGUUCUCAAUCUCAAAACAUAGAUCAGCCAAUGCAUCUUGCAUUUGAUAGCCAUACUAAUAUGUACAAGUAUCGGAAUCUUAAAAUGCAGACAGCCAUGACCAUCAAGUUAACGGCAUGUAGUUUAAGGUACAACUUAUCCUUCUAUAAUGGUAUAAGGUCAACUGAGCAUAUUGACCGUCUAGUUAACGGCAGGUAGUUUAAAGUACAACUUAUCCUUCUGUAAUGGUAUAAGGUCAACUGAGCAUAUAUUUAAAUUGUUGAUCUUGGAUUGGUGAUUAAUUGAAAUCUCAAACUAUAGAAAAACCUUGCAUACAACGAGCUGAAAGUAAAAGAAUGAAAAGUGUUGUGUUUCUAUCUUAUAUGUGUGGCCUACUUCAUUUACCCUUUUACCUGAUAGGUCACAUACAUAGUAGACUCUCUACUUCAUUUGCAGAGAAUGCAAAUAACAUACAUUGGAGAAGUCAGUGAUUUGUGGCUUUCCCUAUCUUCAAAUCAAUUGUAAGAUCAUCCUUCUUGUCACCCUGAUAUUGCAAUUUUUUUUAAACAAUGAUGAUCAAGUCUCGCCUUAAUUUUCAGUAUUAGGGUAAGAACACUCAUGUGUAAAACCAUGUUAAACAGGUUAUCUUUAGACAAUUGCUUCUGAUAAAUGGAUGACCAACAGUAUAAUCCCAUUCAGGAUAUUUACCAUACAAGAUAAAACAAUCCACCAGUUCAGCAGGACAGGCAGAAAUAGAAAUGAAUGAAUGAACUCACUCACUCACAUUG
rnacentral:lncRNA from 1 species